rnacentral:rRNA from 1 species
GACGAACGCUGGCGGCGUGCCUAAUACAUGCAAGUCGAGCGAAGUUUUUCUGGUGCUUGCACUAGAAAAACUUAGCGGCGAACGGGUGAGUAACACGUAAAGAACCUGCCUCAUAGACUGGGACAACUAUUGGAAACGAUAGCUAAUACCGGAUAACAAUAUUUUUCGCAUGAAAGAUACUUAAAAGUUGGUUAUGCUAACACUAUGAGAUGGCUUUGCGGUGCAUUAGCUAGUUGGUGGGGUAAAGGCCUACCAAGGCGACGAUGCAUAGCCGACCUGAGAGGGUGAUCGGCCACACUGGGACUGAGACACGGCCCAGACUCCUACGGGAGGCAGCAGUAGGGAAUCUUCCGCAAUGGGCGAAAGCCUGACGGAGCAACGCCGCGUGAGUGAAGAAGGAUUUCGGUUCGUAAAGCUCUGUUGUUAGGGAAGAAUGGAUAUGUAGUAACUAUACAUAUA